rnacentral:misc_RNA from 1 species
AAGUCGUAACAAGGUUCAACAAUCGGGGUAUCCUUCUCCCUACUGAAGCCUUGAAAUUUUCAGUCCGCUUAAUAAAGCGGGCAACAUUAGCCUGUUGCUGGGCGUCCUUAACUUGUCGGUUGAGAAUACCAGCAGUCGCUCCCUUGCGAUUCACAGAUCAAACGCUGAUGGUCAGCAUUGCUGAUUAUAAUAUGACCGGUCCUAUCUUGUCGAAUGGUAUGGAUACAUGUUCCGUAGGUGAACCUGCGGAAGGAUCAUUAUCGAGUAAGGGUCUUUCAGGCCCGAUCUCCAACCCUGUGUCUAACCUACCAUGUUGCUUUGGCGGGCCCGCCCUUAAGGGGCCGCUGGGGGCUUCACCGCCCCUGGUCCGUGCUCGCCAGUAGCCCUAUUAAACUCUCCUUAACUGUGUUGUCUGAGUAUAAAUUUAAAUCGUUAAAA